rnacentral:rRNA from 1 species
UACGUAGGGGGCAAGCGUUAUCCGGAACUACUGGGUGUAAAGGGAGCGUAGACGGUAAUGUAAGUCUGGAGUGAAAGGCGGGGGCCCAACCCCCGGACUGCUCUGGAAACUAUGUUACUAGAGUGCAGGAGAGGUAAGCGGAAUUCCUAGUGUAGCGGUGAAAUGCGUAGAUAUUAGGAGGAACACCAGUGGCGAAGGCGGCUUACUGGACUGUAACUGACGUUGAGGCUCGAAAGCGUGGGGAGCAAACAGG